rnacentral:rRNA from 1 species
UUAAGCGAAUAAGCGUACACGGUGGAUGCCUAGGCAAUCAGAGGCGAUGAAGGACGUGCUAAUCUGCGAUAAGCGUCGGUAAGGUGAUAUGAACCGUUAUACCCGACGAUUUCCGAAUGGGGAAACCCAAUAUCCAAUGGAUAUUAUCAUGACGUGAAUACAUAGCGUCAUGAAGCGAACCGGGAGAACUGAAACAUCUCAGUACCCCGAGGAAAAGAAAUCAACCGAGAUUCCCCUAGUAGCGGCGAGCGAACGGGGAACAGCCCAGAGUCUUAAUCAACAGCAGCAUCAGGAGAACGGUCUGGAAAGUCCGGCAGUAAAGGGUGAUAGCCCCGUAUCUGAAGAUGCUGUUAUUGUGAACUCGACGAGUAGGGCGGGACACGUGUUAUCCUGUCUGAAUAUGGGGGGACCAUCCUCCAAGGCUAAAUACUCCUGAUUGACCGAUAGUGAACCAGUACCGUGAGGGAAAGGCGAAAAGAACCCCGGCGAGGGGAGUGAAAAAGAACCUGAAACCGUGUACGUACAAGCAGUAGGAGCCUCUUUAUGGGGUGACUGCGUACCUUUUGUAUAAUGGGUCAGCGACUUAUAUUCUGUAGCAAGGUUAACCGUAUAGGGGAGCCGUAGGGAAACCGAGUCUUAACUGGGCGAAUGAGUUGCAGGGUAUAGACCCGAAACCCGGUGAUCUAUCCAUGGGCAGGUUGAAGGUUGGGUAACACUAACUGGAGGACCGAACCGACUAAUGUUGAAAAAUUAGCGGAUGACUUGUGGAUGGGGGUGAAAGGCCAAUCAAACCGGGAGAUAGCUGGUUCUCCCCGAAAGCUAUUUAGGUAGCGCCUCGUGAACUCAUCUUCGGGGGUAGAGCACUGUUUCGACUAGGGGGUCAUCCCGACUUACCAACUCGAUGCAAACUGCGAAUACCGAAGAAUGUUAUCACGGGAGACACACGGCGGGUGCUAACGUCCGUCGUGAAGAGGGAAACAACCCAGACCGCCAGCUAAGGUCCCAAAGUCAUGGUUAAGUGGGAAACGAAGUGGGAAGGCUCAGACAGCCAGGAUGUUGGCUUAGAAGCAGCCAUCAUUUAAAGAAAGCGUAAUAGCUCACUGGUCGAGUCGGCCCGCGCGGAAGAUGUAACGGGGCUAAACCAUGCACCGAAGCUGCGGCAGCGACACUAUGUGUUGUUGGGUAGGGGAGCGUUCUGUAAGCCUGCGAAGGUGUACUGUGAGGUAUGCUGGAGGUAUCAGAAGUGCGAAUGCUGACAUAAGUAACGAUAAUGCGGGUGAAAAACCCGCACGCCGGAAGACCAAGGGUUCCUGUCCAACGUUAAUCGGGGCAGGGUGAGUCGACCCCUAAGGCGAGGCUGAAAAGCGUAGUCGAUGGGAAACGGGUUAAUAUUCCCGUACUGGUGGUAACUGCGAUGGGGGAACGGAGAAGGCUAGGUUGUCCGGGCGACGGUCGUCCCGGUUCAAGCAUGUAGGCAGAGUGAUUAGGCAAAUCCGGUCACUUAAUGCUGAGGUGUGAUGACGAGCCACUAAGGUGGUGAAGCAAUUGAUGCCCUGCUUCCAGGAAAAGCCUCUAAGCUUCAGGUUACCAACAAUCGUACCCCAAACCGACACAGGUGGUCAGGUAGAGAAUACUCAGGCGCUUGAGAGAACUCGGGUGAAGGAACUAGGCAAAAUGGUGCCGUAACUUCGGGAGAAGGCACGCUGGCGGUAAGUGAAGUCCCUUGCGGACGGAGCCGAAGCCAGUCGAAGAUACCAGCUGGCUGCAACUGUUUAUUAAAAACACAGCACUGUGCAAACACGAAAGUGGACGUAUACGGUGUGACGCCUGCCCGGUGCUGGAAGGUUAAUUGAUGGGGUUAUCCGUAAGGAGAAGCUCUUGAUCGAAGCCCCAGUAAACGGCGGCCGUAACUAUAACGGUCCUAAGGUAGCGAAAUUCCUUGUCGGGUAAGUUCCGACCUGCACGAAUGGCGUAAUGAUGGCCAGGCUGUCUCCACCCGAGACUCAGUGAAAUUGAACUCGCUGUGAAGAUGCAGUGUACCCGCGGCAAGACGGAAAGACCCCGUGAACCUUUACUAUAGCUUGACACUGAACAUUGAGCCUUGAUGUGUAGGAUAGGUGGGAGACUUAGAAGUGUGGACGCCAGUCUGCAUGGAGUCAACCUUGAAAUACCACCCUUUAACGUUUGAUGUUCUAACCUAGGUCCAUAAUCUGGAUCGGGGACCGUGUCUGGUGGGUAGUUUGACUGGGGCGGUCUCCUCCUAAAGAGUAACGGAGGAGCACGAAGGUUGGCUAAGCAUGGUCGGACAUCAUGCGGUUAGUGCAAAGGCAUAAGCCAGCUUGACUGUGAGAGUGACGGCUCGAGCAGGUACGAAAGUAGGUCUUAGUGAUCCGGUGGUUCUGAAUGGAAGGGCCAUCGCUCAACGGAUAAAAGGUACUCCGGGGAUAACAGGCUGAUACCGCCCAAGAGUUCAUAUCGACGGCGGUGUUUGGCACCUCGAUGUCGGCUCAUCACAUCCUGGGGCUGAAGUAGGUCCCAAGGGUAUGGCUGUUCGCCAUUUAAAGUGGUACGCGAGCUGGGUUUAGAACGUCGUGAGACAGUUCGGUCCCUAUCUGCCGUGGGCGUUGGAAGAUUGAGAGGGGUUGCUCCUAGUACGAGAGGACCGGAGUGAACGCACCACUGGUGUUCGGGUUGUCAUGCCAAUGGCAUUGCCCGGUAGCUAAGUGCGGAAGAGAUAACCGCUGAAAGCAUCUAAGCGGGAAACUUGCCUCGAGAUGAGUCUUCCCUGUCACCUUGAGUGACCUAAAGGAACGUUUAAGACUAAGACGUUGAUAGGCUGGGUGUGUAAGCGUAGCGAUACGUUGAGCUAACCAGUACUAAUGAACCGUGAGGCUUAACCUG